rnacentral:rRNA from 1 species
GAUGAACGCUGGCGGCGUGCUUAACACAUGCAAGUCGAACGGAAAGGCUCCUGCUUGCAGGGGUACUCGAGUGGCGAAUGGGUGAGUAACACGUGGGUGAUCUGCCCUGCACUUCGGGAUAAGCCUGGGAAACUGGGUCUAAUACCGGAUAGGACGAUGGUUUGGAUGCCAUUGUGGAAAGUUUUUCGGUGUGGGAUGAGCUCGCGGCCUAUCAGCUUGUUGGCGGGGUAAUGGCCUACCAAGGCGUCGACGGGUAGCCGGCCUGGGAGGGUGUACGGCCACAUUGGGACUGAGAUACGGACCAGACUCCUACGGGAGGCAGCAGUGGGGAAUAUUGCACAAUGGGCGCAAGCCUGAUGCAGCGACGCCGCGUGGGGGAUGACGGCCUUCGGGUUGUAAACUCCUUUCGCUAGGGACGAAGCGCAAGUGACGGUACCUGGAGAAGAAGCACCGGCUAACUACGUG